rnacentral:rRNA from 1 species
AUUGAACGCUGGCGGAAUGCUUUACACAUGCAAGUCGAACGGUAGAGAGGUGCUUGCAUCUCUUGAGAGCGGCGGACGGGUGAGUAAUGCCUAGGAAUCUGCCUAGUGUGGGGGAUAACGUUCGGAAACGGACGCUAAUACCGCAUACGUCCUACGGGAGAAAGCGGGGGAUCUUCGGACCUCGCGCCAUUAGAUGAGCCUAGGUCGGAUUAGCUAGUUGGUGAGGUAAUGGCUCACCAAGGCGACGAUCCGUAACUGGUCUGAGAGGAUGAUCAGUCACACUGGAACUGAGACACGGUCCAGACUCCUACGGGAGGCAGCAGUGGGGAAUAUUGGACAAUGGCGAAAGCCUGAUCCAGCAAUGCCACGUGAGUGA